rnacentral:ncRNA from 1 species
GGAAAGUUUUAUUUUGGCUUAAAAGUUUUAUAUUGUUUCCUUGUACAUGCGAGUUUUAGCUUACUUUUAUUAUAUUUAAAGAAUAAUGAAGGUUAUGUUUGCAGUGCUUAAUUUUAAUUUUAUUUGAAGGAUCAAGAUUUAGGGAUUAAGAUAAACCCUGGCUAAGCCUGUGCCAGCUGCCGCGGUUAUACAGGCAGGGUAAUUUAACUAUAUUGGUGUUAGUAAAUUAGUUUUAUUGUAAUUUGUUAUAAAAUUUAUAGGUGAAAUUUUUGUUUUAUUAGGGGUUACUUGAGUAUUAGUUGAGGCUAGAAAAUUUCUUUUUUAGACUAGGAUUAGAUACCCUAUUAUUUGAAGUGUAAUUAUAUAAGGCCAGAUUAGUAGUAGUUAUUUUCUUGAAAAUUAAAGAUUUUGGCGGUAUUUUAGUCUUUUCAGAGGAACCUGCCCUGUAAUUGAUAGUCCACGAUUUAUUUAACCUUUUCUUAGUUUGUAUAUCGUCGUAGUUGAUUAUUUUAUUAGAAGAAAAAUAGUCAAGAAUUAAUAUAAUAAGCUAAAUCAGAUCAAGAUGCAGCAUAUGAGAAGGGAGAGGUGGGUUACAAUAAGGAUACUUAUACGAAUGGAAAUUUGAAAAAUUUUCUUAAAGGUGGAUUUGGUAGUAAUUAUUUAUAAUUAUUUAUGAUGAUUAAGCUCUAAAAUAUGCACAUAUCGCCCGUCGCUUUCAUAAAGGUGGAAUAAGUCGUAACAAAGUAGGCGUACUGGAAAGUGUGCCUAGGAAGA